UACAGAGGUAGCAAGCGUUGUCCGGAUUUACUGGGCGUAAAGGGCGUGUAGGUGGUUAAACAAGUCAGAUGUGAAAUCGUCUCGCUUAACGAGACAAUGGCAUUUGAUACUAUUUAGCUUGAGUGCAGGAAGGGAAAAUGGAAUUUCCGGUGUAGCGGUGAAAUGCGUAGAUAUCGGAAAGAACACCAGUGGCGAAGGCGGUUUUCUGGCCUGCAACUGACACUGAGGCGCGAAAGCUAGGGGAGCAAACGGG
rnacentral:rRNA from 1 species